rnacentral:rRNA from 1 species
UGUUCUUGAAACCCAAAGAAUUUGGCGGUAUUUUAUUUCUUUUAGAGGAACCUGUCCUGUAAUUGAUAAUCCACGAUAGGAGUUACUUGUUUUUGUUUUCAUUUUGUAUACCUCCGUCAUCAGAGUAUCCUUUUAGGGAUAAAUAUUCUUAAUAUAUAAAUUAUUGUAUGUCAGGUCAAGGUGCAAUUUAUAGAUAAGUAGAGAUGGGUUACAAUAAAUUUAUUUAAACGGAUUAUUAUUUUUAAUAUUAAUAUGAAGGUGGAUUUAAAAGUAAAAUUAUUUUAUUUAUUAAUUUGAUUAUAGCUCUAAAAUAUGCACACAUCGCCCGUCGCUCUUAUUUUAAAAUAAGAUAAGUCGUAACAUAGUAGGAGUACCGGAAGGUGUUCCU